AGUGGACGCUGGCGGUAGGCCUAACACAUGCAAGUCGAACGGCAGCACAGUAAGAGCUUGCUCUUACGGGUGGCGAGUGGCGGACGGGUGAGGAAUACAUCGGAAUCUACUUUUUCGUGGGGGAUAACGUAGGGAAACUUACUCUAAUACCGCAUACGACCUACGGGUGAAAGCGGGGGAUCUUCGGACCUUGCGCGAUUGAAUGAGCCGAUGUCGGAUUAGCUAGUUGGCGGGGUAAAGGCCCACCCAGGCGACGAUCCGUAGCUGGUCUGAGAGGAGGGUCAGCGACACUGGAGCUGAGACAGGGUCCAGACUCCUACGGGAGGCAGCAGUGGGGAAUGUUGGACAAUGGGCGCAAGCCUGAUCCAGCCAUACCGCGUCGGUGAAGAAGGCCUUCGGGUUGUAAAGCCCUUUUGUUGGGAAAGAAAAGCAGCAGGUUAAUACCCCGCUGUUCUGACGGUACCCAAAGAAGAAGCACCGGCUAACUUCGUG
rnacentral:rRNA from 1 species